rnacentral:rRNA from 1 species
CCAGUAGUCAUAUGCUUGUCUCAAAGAUUAAGCCAUGCAUGUCUCAGUACAAGCCAAAUUAAGGUGAAACCGCGAAAGGCUCAUUAAAUCAGUUAUGGUUCCUUAGAUCGUACCCACAUUUACUUGGAUAACUGUGGUAAUUCUAGAGCUAAUACAUGCAAACAGAGCUCCGACCGGAGACGGAAGGAGCGCUUUUAUUAGAUCAAAACCAAUCGGUGGCGGGUCCGUCCCGUCACCGUACACCUUGGUGACUCUGAAUAACUUUUUGCUGAUCGCACGGUCUCGCACCGGCGACGCAUCUUUCAAAUGUCUGCCUUAUCAACUGUCGAUGGUAGGUUCUGCGCCUACCAUGGUUGUAACGGGUAACGGGGAAUCAGGGUUCGAUUCCGGAGAGGGAGCCUGAGAAACGGCUACCACAUCCAAGGAAGGCAGCAGGCGCGCAAAUUACCCACUCCCGGCACGGGGAGGUAGUGACGAAAAAUAACGAUACGGGACUCAUCCGAGGCCCCGUAAUCGGAAUGAGUACACUCUAAACCCUUUAACGAGGAUCAAUUGGAGGGCAAGUCUGGUGCCAGCAGCCGCGGUAAUUCCAGCUCCAAUAGCGUAUAUUAAAGUUGUUGCGGUUAAAAAGCUCGUAGUCGAAUUUGUGUCCCGCGCCGCCGGUUCAUCGCUCGCGGUGUCAACUGGCGUGUCCGCGGGACGUCCUGCCGGUGGGCUUAGCCCCCCGUGGGCGGCCCAAUCUCAAUCCCACCGCGGUGCUCUUCACUGAGUGUCGAGGUGGGCCGGCACGUUUACUUUGAACAAAUUAGAGUGCUUAAAGCAGGCUAAAACUUCGCCUGAAUACUGUGUGCAUGGAAUAAUGGAAUAGGACCUCGGUUCUAUUUUGUUGGUUUUCGGAACCCCGAGGUAAUGAUUAAUAGGAACGGAUGGGGGCAUUCGUAUUG